UUCUUUUCUCCCUCUUUCAUUUUUUCUUGAUGGAGUUUCUUGUACGCUUUUAAAAAUGUGAUGAUGAUUGUGUUGUUCUGAUUUCUCGAUGGUCUGAAUGUUGUGAUUGCUGGCUCUUGUUAUGGUUUAAGCAUCCAGACCAAAGUUAGGGUUCCUGGUUUACGAGGUGACAAUGGUUUCUGGUUGAAGACAAGUUGACUCGUCUCCAACCAGUGAGUUGGGCCCAGGGGUUGACUCGCACGAGUCAACUCGGUAAGUUGUGUUACCCAGUCAAGCCCGAGUCAAGCUAAGUGGGCUUUGAGUUUCCGUUCUCAUUUUGAAACCGGGCUUGGACAUGUGUCUUGUAAUUGAGUUGGGUUGAGAGUGUUUUAAUGGGCCGAUUUUAUUUUGAAAACUAGUUGGGCCAGGGUCAUUUUUAAAAUUGGGUAUGGGCUGGUUUGGUUUAAAAAUGGGCUUGGGGGUUCAAUUUAGUAAACAUGGUCUGUUGGGUUUUAAAAUGGGCUUCAGGUUGAUCUUCCUAAAAUGGGCUUGGAGGUUUAAGUUCAAAAAUGGGCCUUUUUUAAAAAAAAAAAGGGUUGGCCCGCUUGAUACUUUACAACGAAGGCCCAAUUCUAAUUUUUCAGACUGUGCCAACCCAACUGGGAUUUUAGAAACAGGGUCAGCCCACUAAGCUUCUAAAAGCAAGGUCCAAUUGGAUUUUUAAAACAGAUUCUAGGUCGGCUCACAACAAAUAUCAGGCUGGGCCAAAACAUUUUACGGCCUAGUUCAAAAGACUGGGUUAACGGGCUUUAGGUUCAUUUCUUAGGGCUAGAUUAAACCCAACUUCCAACUCAGGUUCGAGCUAGACAAUCUGAAGACCCGAGACGAUGAUCCGAACUCAUGCUCGGGUAUGAGGAAACUCAGGUUCAGAAACCUCUGAGGAUGGAAAACAACUGCAUUCCUACUUGCACACAUAUAGAUUGAAUAUCUUUGAGAAUUGAGUUUUAGGCAUUUACCCUCUUUACUUUCCUCCUCCGGUCUUCUUGUCCUAAGCUCCUAAGUCUGUCUGUGCACGAAUAUUGAUGUGGAGAGCUCCUUACUCUGCUAUUGAAAGUUGUUCAACAUUCUGAAGUUGGAUUGCUGCUUUUGGGUUCUAAAUUUACGGAGCUUUUUCUUUCUGGCUUCUUCCUCUUUGAACUCCCCCAACUUUAAUUUCCAAACUAGUAGAACCUCUCCUCUCUUUCUAAUUUCUUUCUCUCCUAAUUCUGGCAGGGCAUCUCUCUGGGGGCGUUGCUCCCUAAAUUUAGCAGAGUUUUUCUGAGCUCUUUCUCUCAUUUUCCCUCUAUUUCCCCAACAUUUAUCUACGCUCCCUAUUUCUCUCCCCCUUCUACAGUGCCGCGAACCUCCCUAUUUAUAGGGAGGUGGGGUGAUCCUUUUGGCGGCAAAGUCCUCAGCGUGGCCUUCCCCCAACGAAAUUCCCCACCAACAAACUGUCAAGGAAUAAUCAUAUUCUCUCCAUGUGCUUUUAUUUUUUUCAUUUUAUUUUAUUUUUGGAUUUCAGCUGCUAACUAACUGUGUCAACCCUCCCUUUUUUGCGCAGGUGAAAAUCCAGUUGUCUGUCUAGGGUUUGCGGACCUUUUGAAUGGUUCUAGGUGGCAGCACAAAGAUGGCGGAUACUCCAAAUGGUGGCAUCGGAGUGGAGGGCUUUUGGGAACCCCCAGGUGGCUGCCCAGGAUUAGAGGAUUGAGCAUCUGCCUUUUUUUUGUAUAUAUAUUUUUUUACCUGCUAAUGUAUGUACCCCCGAGCAUUUUGUUCUGCACCAAUUAUUUGUACACUUUAUUAUCUUCCCAUUUUAUUUCCCAUGUUUAUUUGUAACUUA